rnacentral:rRNA from 1 species
GAUGAACGCUGGCGGCGUGCCUAAUACAUGCAAGUCGAGCGAAUGGAUUAAGAGCUUGCUCUUAUGAAGUUAGCGGCGGACGGGUGAGUAACACGUGGGUAACCUGCCCAUAAGACUGGGAUAACUCCGGGAAACCGGGGCUAAUACCGGAUAACAUUUUGAACCGCAUGGUUCGAAAUUGAAAGGCGGCUUCGGCUGUCACUUAUGGAUGGACCCGCGUCGCAUUAGCUAGUUGGUGAAGUAACGGCUCACCAAGGCAACGAUGCGUAGCCGACCUGAGAGGGUGAUCGGCCACACUGGGACUGGAACACGGCCCAGACUCCUACGGGAGGCAGAAGUAGGGAAUCUUCCGCAAUGGACGAAAGUCUGACGGAGCAACGCCGCGUGAGUGAUGAAGGCUUUCGGGUCGUAAAACUCUGUUGUUAGGGAAGAACAAGUGCUAGUUGAAUAAGCUGGCACCUUGACGGUACCUAACCAGAAAGCCACGGCUAACUACGUGCCAGCCGCCGCCGUAA